GGGGCAUUGGAAGAGCGGGGCGGUGCUUCUCUUGGGGCCGCAAAAGUGCCUCUACUGCGCGUGACUGUUAGAAUCCAUCCUAUUUUGAAUCAGGCUACGAAAGCUUUUUUUUUUUUUUAAAUGUUCAGACCGUAACACAAGUGAGAAAAUUGUGCGAACUUCUAUCUGAAGAUACAGGGCCAUCUUCAAUCAUCUUGAUCUAUAUCUUACCAUUGGACCCAAAUGGCUGUGGGAGGAAAAGUGAGGCAGAUGACCUUGUACAGCCCUCCCCCACUUAAAUCCAAUUCACUUGUCAUGGCAUCCUCUGAUGUCAUGUUCCUUUUCGAGAAGGAAGGAGGAACAACAGUCCUGACGCAGAGUAAACACUUAUUAAAUGCUUGUUAAUUGACUGGCUUUUCAGUUUUUUGUUCAUGGGUCUACAAUCAUAAAAUCUCAUACUUGAAAGGAAUCUCAAAAGUAAUUUAAUCCAAACCAUAUUUGAAUAGAGAAUCCCUUAACACUAUCCCUGAUAGAAGUCAUCAAACUUCCACUUGAAGACCUCUAAAACAAAGCUUCUUAAACUGUGGGUCAUGUCCCCUUAUAUUCAUGUAACCAAAUGUGGAGGUUUGCAAAAUUAUUAUUUACUAUCAGUAAAUGUUUUAUUUGUACAACUAUUAUAUAUACUUGUAAAGGGCUGAAACUCUUGAGUUCAUGCAUUGAGAUUUGGACAUCCAAGCACUUAAGGCUAAUUACUUAUUGGACAAUACUCUAUUAGCAUAUGCUUGGAAAAUGGCCCCCCCACUAUUCUGUUCCAGCUUGAUCUGUUGAUGUAAACAGAGAAUUGUAAGUGGGAUUAGAGGGUGGAGUAAGAGAAGCAAGAAUUACUUUUUGGCUGUGGAGAGGGAGAAAGAAGGUGUGGAGAUUCCUGUGUCCAUUCCCCUGACUGCUACCCCAAAAGACCAAGAAUAAAGAUCAAGGGCUUUUACUUAUCUUGACUCCAGCUGAUUCUAAGGUAUCCAGGGUGAUAACUCGGUCUUCACAUAUACCCAUAUAUCUGGGUUUGCAUAAAAAUUUCUAUAGAGAAAAGGAGUCACGAGUUGAAAAAGUUUAAAAAAUCUUGCUCUAGAAAUAGGAAUUCAAUCACCUCCAGAGGCAGCCCAUUUUGCUUUAUUAUUAUUACUAAUAGUUAGGAAGCUUUUCCUUAUAUUAAACUGAAAUUUACCUUCCUAAAAUUAUUUUUAAUUGCAUUGAUUGUAGUGCUACCCUCUAAUAUAUUGAAACAAUACUAGUUUUUUCUUCCACUUGAGGCUUUCAAAUACUUGAAGAUUAUUCCUCCUUACUCCCAAAAGUGGACAAUGAAUAAAGCAUUUGAUCUUGAGUCAAGAAGAUCUGAGUUAAAAUACAGCCUUAGAUACUAACUGUGUAAACCUAGACAAGUUUUCCUCAGUUUCUUCAACUGUAAAAUGGAGGUGCUAAUAGCAUCUUAUUUCUCAAGGUUAUUGUGAGGAUCAGAUGAGAUAGUAUUUAUAAAGCACUUAGUAAUUUCUGGUGCAUAGAAGAAGCUUAAUUUCACUUAAUUAAUUUCUCCCUUCCUCUUACUAUGUCUUCUUUUCAGGAUUAGCAUCCCCAGUUUCUUUAGGCAAUAAUGAAGUGGUUUUGAGUUCCUUUACUAUACCAGAUAUACUAUAAUUUAUCAUGAUUCUUUCUAAAAUGUGAUGACUAGAAUUGAACAUGGUACUGUAUACAUAUGGCUUAACUGGGUAGAGUAUAGUACAUUAAGCUUCAUUUUUUAGAACCUAAAAUGCUAUUGAAUUUUUUUGUCUGCCAUAUCACACUGAUAAAUUGUAUUUUGCUUGAAUUUCAUGAAGAUCCCAAGGCCUUUUUUAAAAAAUAAAUUUGAUUUUGAUUUACAUUGA